rnacentral:rRNA from 1 species
UACGUAGGGUGCGAGCGUUAAUCGGAAUUACUGGGCGUAAAGCGUGCGCAGGCGGUGAUGUAAGACAGGUGUGAAAUCCCCGGGCUUAACCUGGGAACUGCAUUUGUGACUGGCGGGCUAGAGUAUGGCAGAGGGGGGUAGAAUUCCACGUGUAGCAGUGAAAUGCGUAGAGAUGUGGAGGAAUACCGAUGGCGAAGGCAGCCCCCUGGGCCCAAUACUGACGCUCAUGCACGAA